rnacentral:rRNA from 1 species
GUGGGGAAUAUUGGACAAUGGGCGAAAGCCUGAUCCAGCCAUGCCGCGUGUGUGAAGAAGGUCUUCGGAUUGUAAAGCACUUUAAGUUGGGAGGAAGGGCAGUAAGUUAAUACCUUGCUGUUUUGACGUUACCGACAGAAUAAGCACCGGCUAACUUCGUGCCAGCAGCCGCGGUAAUACGAAGGGUGCAAGCGUUAAUCGGAAUUACUGGGCGUAAAGCGCGCGUAGGUGGUUCAGCAAGUUGGAGGUGAAAUCCCCGGGCUCAACCUGGGAACUGCCUCCAAAACUACUGGGCUAGAGUACGGUAGAGGGUAGUGGAAUUUCCUGUGUAGCGGUGAAAUGCGUAGAUAUAGGAAGGAACACCAGUGGCGAAGGCGACUACCUGGACUGAUACUGACACUGAGGUGCGAAAGCGUGGGGAGCAAACAGGAUUAGAUACCCUAGUAGUCC